UCUAGAACUCGAGAUAUGGGUUGAACACUGAACAAUGUAUGAGCUGCAGGACAGAUUCUGACUUCUCUUUUGUUGCUACAAUUUGAACUUGAAAACAGUCAUUUUGAAUCUUGAACUCUCAUGGAAGUUUUAGGCCCAUAUCUUAUCUUUUCAUC
rfam:Populus trichocarpa scaffold_8_contig_206, whole genome shotgun sequence.